AAGUCGUAACAAGGUUUCCGUAGGUGAACCUGCGGAAGGAUCAUUGUUGGAAAAAAAAAUCAACAAGCCUUUUUUUUGGCUUGCAAACAAAAAUGUUAGAUACCCAAGCAGAGAGAGAUUAAGAAAAUUUAGUGGAUGGCUGAUAGAAAAGAGGUUGGAAAAAGUGAAUAAAAAAAAACAACUUUCAACAACGGAUCUCUUGGCUCUCA
rnacentral:misc_RNA from 1 species